UCCAACUGACUUUGUCCUCUUCCUGGUAGAACAAAACUAGGGCGCGCGCACGAUUAACCAUUCAUUGCGGCAGCAGAGCUCCACUGCAUGGAUUGUAGUUGCUGGACUUUAAAAUAUGGCGAACGAGUCCUCGUAGCUUAUCAACACAAAAGCAGAAGAAUAUGUCAAAAUCACCGAAAAACCAAAGCCAAAUUGAACAGACUCGAGCAAGGAAUUGAUAACAAAACUGACUGAUCAAUUCAGCAAUAUUAGAAAGUACUAAAGAUAAUGUGCACUUCGAAAUGAGCUUUAAUAGAGAUUAAAAACUUCCUCAGAAAAGCAGAAACAAUAGUUCGUGCAUAUUCCAUUCAGAGGAUACAAAAUCCUGAGCAAGACCAAUCGCUGGUUUAACGACUCGUUCAAUUUUAAUGAACAAAUUUUGAUGCAAAAUCUGUUAUUUGAAGUUCUAGCACAGCUCAUAGGAACCUAGAUGAAGCACCUUGUGGCCACUAUGCAUGCAUUAUUGCAUGAGGUCGACAUGUGUAGCCUAUUAAUGGGUGUUUCAUCAGAAUGCCCAUAAAAUAAAUGACCCUCAUGAAUGCACACUAUACACAUCAUUAUUUUUUAAAAUGAAAAAACAUACCAAUCUUUAUUGGACAUUGAAGAGCUGUGAGAAUUUUUGGAUCGAUCAAAAUUCCAUCCCAAGGUUACCGAUGGUCUACAACAAAAUCCCCAUUUAGGUAGCUUUGCCAGCGACAGGAUUGCGACCAAACUGGAUGAUCA
rnacentral:lncRNA from 1 species